ensembl:snRNA U1 U1 spliceosomal RNA
AUACUUACCUGGCAGGGGAGAUACCAUGAUCACGAAGGUGGUUUUCCCAGGGCGAGGCUUAUCCAUUGCACUCCAGAUGUGCUGAAACUCCAGUUUCCCAAAUGUGGGAAACUCUACUGCAUAAUUUGUGGUAGUGGGGGACUGCGUUCGCGCUCCCUCCUG